rnacentral:lncRNA from 1 species
UUUUUUUUUUUUUUUUUGGGUUUUUUUUUGGUUUUUCGAGACAGGGUUUCUCUGUAUAGCCCUGGCUGUCCUGGAGCUCACUUUGUAGACCAGGCUGGCCUCGAACUCAGAAAUCCGCCUGCCUCUGCCUCCCGAGUGCUGGGAUUAAAGGCGUGCGCCACCACGCCCGGCUAACAAAUUUUAUAAGAAAAAGAAAGAAACAAAACAAAACAGAAAAAUAGCUCAUUGUGUCAAAGUGCACAAGAGACUCUCUGCCUCAGUGAGAUGGAAACUGAGAACCAACUAAUGAAAGUUGCUUCUGCUCUCUGCCACCUUCCUUAUGAGGCUGCAUAUGUGCAACCAUACAAAAAAAAAAAAAAAAUGAAAGCCACUUACUCUUGCUGGCUUUAAUGAAAGUAAUCUAUAUCUUUAUCUAAAUAAAUGGGCUUUAACAGACACGUCUCUGAAUGGCCAAAAAGCUCUUGAUACUCAACAUUUGGCUCUCAGAGAAAAGUGCACUUGAGUCCCAGCAGUAGUGUCAGCCUUAGCUCCUGCAUUGUUGAUGGAGUUAUUUCUAACUGCUCUUGGAAUAAUUCCAGCUGCAUCUUAGAGAAUUAUACAUCCAAGACAACUAUUAGUAGUUAAGAUUUAGUGCUGUGCCCACAGGCACAGACUAAUAUAUUAAGGUUAUUUAGGUUGCCAAUAUAUGGAAAACAAUUUUCAACUCUUCUGUUUGCUUAACAACAACGACAACAAAAACCACCAUACAGAUUGCCAUUAGUCCCAGUGCUCAGGCCUGAGAGGCAGUCACAUCUUAUCCAUUAUCAGCCUGGCCUGCAUGGUAAUCACCAUGUCCAAAAAAGAGGAGUGCUUGAAGUGAUUCAUGUGUGUAGAUAAAAUGGAUCUUGGAUAAUUAUUUUUGUAAAUAUAGAAAUAACAAAAGUACUCAUUUCUGAAUAUUCUCCCAAACUUUUGGGGUUUGAAUCUUCUGUGAGCUCUUUAUAAGGCUGUUGUCAUCUGAGGCUGUAAGAAUGAAAGAACUUAUUUCCUUAUAUAACAGAAACCGGAAAGAUACAUCUAAAAUUAUCAUUAUCUUUAGAAAACAUAGUCUACCUUUUUUUCCCUCCUUUAGGUGGUGGAGUUGUUGUUAGCUCGCGGUGCAAAUAAAGAACACAGGAAUGUUUCUGAUUAUACACCUCUAAGCCUGGCUGCUUCUGGUGGCUAUGUGAACAUCAUCAAAAUACUGCUAAAUGCAGGAGCUGAGAUCAAUUCAAGGCAAGCUUUACUUGUCUAUAGAAAUUUCAUUAAGAAUAUUGUGCUAUAAAUCUUUGGAGAAUGCUGUUUUAGUGGUUUAAACAGUUUUUUUAUAAUUUGAAAUAAAAAUUUAAGAUAGGUUUUAUUCAAAUAUUUUAAAAUGUUGACAUAACUGAAAAAUACAAACUGCUGUUUCUUAGGGUACUAAAGGCAUUAUUCUGAAACAGGUAAAUAUUUGGUUCAUCAUCAUAGGAUGGAGAAUUUAUUCCCUAGCUAGUUAUUAUAUGCCAUCUACUAAGAGUUCUCUGAGGAAGUUUUAAUAGUAUCUCAAAAGAUGCAAGGGCUCAUAAAGGUAGUUAAAAUUUUAAGUAAUCCUAUAGAAUCAAGAGUUUAGCCAGACUGGGUGGGUGAUCCAUUCCUGUCAUCAAAGCAUUUUGGGAGGUUGAAUCAAGAAAAUCAGGAAUUCAGGUCAUUUUGAGCUACCGUAGCUAGUUAGUCUGUCUCAAAAAAAUGCAGGAAAAUUUUAUAUUCAGGUUUUUUUAAUCUUUGCUAUACCUCUGCUGUGACACAAAGUUUUUUUCAUUUUGUUCUCUCAUACUUUUUAAUCCUAGAACUGGCAGCAAAUUGGGCAUUUCUCCACUGAUGUUGGCAGCUAUGAAUGGGCAUACAGCUGCAGUUAAGCUCCUUUUAGACAUGGGCUCUGACAUAAAUGCUCAGAUAGAAACCAAUCGGAACACUGCCCUUACAUUAGCCUGCUUCCAAGGAAGAACUGAAGUGGUUAGCCUUCUGCUUGAUCGAAAAGCAAAUGUUGAACAUAGGGCUAAGGUAAGAAAAAUACUGAAAUUUAUAGUGUUUACUCUUAGGUACUGUGACAAAAUAUCUAAGAAAAUAAUUUUAAAGAAGGAAAAUAGGUUUAUUUUAGAGGUUAUGAUUUCAUUACUUUCUAGCCUCAUGCAAAUGCGCGGGCAUACAUUUUUUUAAAGGUACUAAUAAGUUAUUAGCUGAAAAUAAUGUGGUUUUGUAAAGGUCAGGAUACGUUAUGAAGUGUCAUUCACAUCAACGAACUUGUAUCUUGUACAGAUUCUAUUCCACUAAUUUUAGGUAGAAUUAAAGUUUUAAUUAGCUGUAACUCAAACAAGUAUCAGUACAGAUAUUUAUGGAUAUGUGGAAACUAUACCAUAUUGUUCCCUCAGAUUGUUAACAUUUUGGCUGUUUCUGGUCUCUUCCAUAGUUUGUUUUUUUUUAUUGUUUUUUUUUUUAUUUAUUUAUUUUCCAUUAAACCUAGACUGGCCUCACACCAUUAAUGGAAGCAGCGUCUGGUGGUUAUGCAGAGGUGGGCCGAGUUCUUUUGGAUAAAGGUGCUGAUGUGAAUGCCCCUCCAGUGCCCUCCUCCAGAGACACAGCUUUAACCAUAGCCGCAGAUAAAGGGCAUUAUAAAUUUUGUGAACUUCUUAUUGGCAAGUAUGUCAUGAGCAUAUUCUUUGUGUUAUAUAUGUGUGUUAACAUUCUGAGGGCAAUGUCACUGUGUUAAAAAGUCAAAUGCAAUCUACACUUUCCUCUUUCUUUGGGCUUCAGGUUGACAGUAACUGUUCUGUGUCAGACAGUUGCAAUUUUAGUUACAUGAUAGCUACCUGUCAGUUUUCCAGAAAAAUGCUUGUGGGUUUUGGCUUUUGAACUUUAAAAUUUUUAAAAGACUUAUCUGUGUGUAGUGGCACGUGACUUUAAUCCCAGCUCUUGAGAGACAGAGGCAGGUAGAUCUCUGUGAGAUAGAGACUGAACUGGUAUGGAUAUUCCCUCGCAGGAUGCUGUUCGUCUCCUUGACACUAUUUAUUUAAGGUGCUGAAUGAGUGUUCAGAGUUAGUAACUUUUUAAAAGGAAAGCACAUUGAAUAUAUAAAUGUUUAAUUUGACAGAAGUUCUCUGUAAUACAAUUUGUCCUGAAUUUUUUUCCUCUUUAAAUUUUCAUGGCAGUUUAUUUUUACUGCUGCCCCAUCAUUCCAUCUCAUGUAAGAAGCUGUCUUCCAUUUCCAGGGGAGCUCAUAUUGAUGUGCGAAACAAGAAGGGGAACACUCCGUUAUGGCUAGCAGCAAAUGGUGGACACCUAGAUGUGGUUCAGCUACUGGUGCAAGCAACUGCAGAUGUAGAUGCAGCAGAUAACCGCAAGAUAACUCCGCUCAUGGCUGCAUUUAGAAAGGUAGUUCUUAUAUCCUCAUUCUCUUGCAGCACUGCACAUGGCCAGUUGUGUGGGAGAACACGGCUUAGUGAUUAUUCUGAACUUAGUUCUGUGAUGUAAUAACUUUGAUGAAAGCAGUAAUACUAUGUGCAAAUGAGAUGCUCUACUUGCAAGCCAAAUAGAUCUAAUAUUUCAAAAAUCCUGCAAAUGUGAUUCAUAUUGGAUAUUAAAGCUAAGGAUAGUUGCAAAGAUAUUCUAGGGUGACUGGCUGGAUGACUCCGUGAGUAAAGGUGCCUGUCAUGAAAGCCUGACAACUCCAGAAUUGUCCUCUGACCGCUACAUGCAUGCCCUGGCAUAGCCGCCCCACCCUCCACCCCAAUCAUGGGUAUAUACACAUGGAAUAAUAAAGUAAAAUAAGGCAUGUAUUCUAAGGUAUACAUUUGAAAUCUAGUUAUAAUUUUGUCUCACAAAAUAACAUUUGGAUGAUUUCUUACAUUCCCAUUAAACAGUAAGUUUUAUUGUUGGUUUUAUUCAUUCACCUGGGUUUUCUGUUAUUGGCUUGGUUUGGGCUUUGUCUUUUUUUUUUUCUUUUUUAGUUUGGCUUUGAUAUGGAUUCUCACGAAGUUGCUUUGGCUGGCUUUGAACUUUGCUGCAACUUACAGAUUAUACUUUUUCCUCUGUAUAAGAGUGCUGGGAUUGAGCUGGAGGGAUGGCUCAGUGGUUAAGAGCACCGACUGCUCUUCUGAAGGUCCUGAGUUCAAACCCCAGCAACCACAUGGUGGCUCACAACCAUCCGUAAUGAGAUCUGACUCCCUCUUCUGGAGAGUCUGAAGACAGCUACAGUAU